UUCGCAAUGCCCGAAAGGGUGACGAAGCGACGCCGCGUGGGUGAGGAAGGCCUUCGGGUUGUAAAGCCCUGUCAGGAGUUAAGAAAUGUAAGUGCGCUAAUAUCGCAUUUACUUGACGAAGGCUCCAAAGGAAGCCACGGCUAACUCUGUGCCAGCAGCCGCGGUAAUACAGAGGUGGCAAGCGUUGUUCGGAAUUAUUGGGCGUAAAGAGCACGUAGGUGGGUCUGUAAGUCAGAUGUGAAAGCCUCCUGUUCAAAGGAAGAACGGCAUCUGAAACUACAGAUCUUGAGUGUAGGAGGGGAGAGUGGAACUUCUGGUGGAGCGGUGAAAUGCGUAGAUAUCAGAAGGUACGUCGGCGGCGAAAGCGACUCUCUGGCCUAUUACUGACACUGAGUGUGCGAAAGUUAGGGGAGCAAACGGGAUUAGAUACCCCGGUAGUCCUAACUGUAAACGAUGGGCACUAAGUAGAGGGGUUUU
rnacentral:rRNA from 2 species